GCUUCUGUGACCUAGUGGUUAGAGCGUUUGCCUUGUAUGCGGGAGGUCUUGGGUUCAAUCCCCGGUUUAGUCAUAGCA